UGGGGAAUCUUGGACAAUGGGCGCAAGCCUGAUCCAGCCAUGCCGCGUGAGUGAUGAAGGCCUUAGGGUUGUAAAGCUCUUUUUGCCGGGGACGAUAAUGACGGUACCCGGAGAAUAAGUCCCGGCUAACUUCGUGCCAGCAGCCGCGGUAAUACGAAGGGGACUAGCGUUGUUCGGAAUCACUGGGCGUAAAGCGCACGUAGGCGGAUUUGUAAGUCAGGGGUGAAAUCCCGGGGCUCAACCUCGGAACUGCCUUUGAUACUGCGGAUCUCGAGUCCGAUAGAGGUGAGUGGAAUUCCUAGUGUAGAGGUGAAAUUCGUAGAUAUUAGGAAAAACACCGGUGGCGAAGGCGGCUCACUGGAUCGGUACUGACGCUGAGGUGCGAAAGCGUGGGGAGCAAACAGGAUUAGAUACCCCUGUAGUCCCUGAGCGGGCUGGCAAGGCGCAU
rnacentral:rRNA from 1 species